CAUAGUAAACAAAAUUAUCAAAAGAAAAUUCAUUGGCACAGCCGAGAAAUGUUGAAUGAGGAUGUUCAGUACCAGCACUGUGCCCAGCACUGUGGUAUUUUAAGCUAGAUCAUCCUUGAGGGACUGUGUACUGCAGGGUAGUUUAGUGGCAUCCUUAGAGGUUGGCUUGAGGACAGUAGCAGAAACUGCCAAGUGUUCCCUGAACCACUUAGGUCACCAAUGGCUCUAUGGGGACACUGUGAGACCACUGCCCCUUAGCUUUUGGUACUUUAUUGCAGGCCACAUGAUAGAGUCCUGUCGCCUUGCAAAGGCAGUUUCCCCAUCUGACCCAAGCAGCAUGAGUGAAAGCUCCGCAGAAGCCAUUUCUGCCUGAAGCUUCCUUCUUCGUGGCUGAUCUCCAUCUUCCUUACACUCCCAGUGGAAUCAAAUCAAAAAUUUGACAAUGAUUUAGGAAAAUUCUUUAAUAAAAUUUAUUUUUAAAAAAUGCAUUCUUGAGAACAGCUUUUCUUUUCCACUCCCCAAGAAAAUACAAAAUUAUCCACACCUACAGACAUAUACACUCAAAAACUAGACAUUCUCUACUCCACACUCCCUUAGAGACAGUGGAAAGGGCAGAAUCAGCAACGUGAGUCCCACCACUGAUUGAAGACAUGAUUUUUGCUUUCUUCCCCAGGUGACGCAAUUUCGAAAAAAUUCUGCAGGGACUGUCAAAAUUUGAAAGUGUGUAUUGUCAAUGAAAAGAAAAGAAUCUUGAAACCCUGUGCUCUCCCUGCCCCCCUCUGCCCCCUCCUUCACCCUCUAGGGCGGGGUUUUCCUCAACAUCCACCUGAAAUUGGGUGAGCUGGAUGCAGAGCAGCCAGGUUUUCUACAAAUACCACAAAUAAGAGCAGGCACUUGGGGAAUCAGGGCAUCAGGUACAAAAGGAUCCAGGAGAAGAAACAUUCUGCCAGAACUUUCAGGAAGAGAGGCCAUUUGCCUCCACCAACCUCAGCACCAGGUGACUAGAUAGCAGCCACAGUGGCUGCGCCCCACCCCCAGCCCAUCGCCUGUGUUUCCUGUCUUCCUUUGGCAGUGGCACGAUGAACACUGCUGAUUCUCAGAAUAUACCAAUAUUGUUGUCAGCGAUAAUGAAAAAGUCAGUGGCACCUGAAAACACCAUUUACGCCCCCGCCUCACAUGGAAGCAAGGAAGCCCAUAGUGACAUAUUAUGAACACUGCCUCAGAAAAGACAUUUCAAGUGAGUACUGAGGACAUGGAAAACAAAAUCUAUGCAGGGUCUGAGUACACACCACCAGCCGAGACAACCACACAAAACACGGGCCAUGUACCCUAAAAGGACCCAGUCAUUUCUGUGUCCAGGAACUCCCAUCUGAGGCAGAGUAACAGAAUUCAGGAACAUAAAUGGGUAUUAGAAUGCUAGUGCAUACAGUUU